GACGAACGCGGGCGGCGUGCCUAAUACAUGCAAGUCGAGCGAAGUUUUUCUGGUGCUUGCACUAGAAAAACUUCGCGGCGAGCGGGUGAGUAACACGUAAAGAACCUGCCUCAUAGACUGGGAGAACUAUUGGAAACGAUAGCUAAUACCGGAUAACAGUAUUUCUCGCAUGAGAGAUAUUUAAAAGUUGGUUAUGCUAACACUAUGAGAUGGCUUUGCGGUGCAUUAGCUAGUUGGUGGGGUAAAGGCCCACCCAGGCGACGAUGCAUAGCCGACCUGAGAGGGUGAUCGGCCACACUGGAACUGAGACACGGCCCAGACUCCUACGGGAGGCGGCAGUAGGGAAUCUUCCGCAAUGGGCGAAAGCCUGACGGAGCAACGCCGCGUGAGUGAAGAAGGAUUUCGGUUAGUAGAGCUCUGAUGUUAGGGAAGAAAGGAUAUGUUGUAACGAUACACGUAAGGGACGGUACCUAAACAGAAAGGUACGGCUAACUACGUG
rnacentral:rRNA from 1 species